UACGAAGGGGGCUAGCGUUGCUCGGAAUUACUGGGCGUAAAGGGCGCGUAGGCGGCCUGCUAAGUCGGAUGUGAAAUCCCUCGGCUCAACCGAGGAACUGCAUCCGAUACUGUCGGGCUUGAGUACGGAAGAGGCGAGUGGAAUUCCUGGUGUAGCGGUGAAAUGCGCAGAUAUCAGGAGGAACACCAGUGGCGAAGGCGGCGACCUGGUCCGAGACUGACGCUGAGGCGCGAAAGCGUGGGGAGCAAACAGG
rnacentral:rRNA from 1 species